UCUAUGGGGCAGGGAGGUGCUGUGCCCAUUCUAUGGGGCAGGGAUGUGCCCAUUCUAUGGGGCAGGGCGGUGCUGUGUCCAUUCUAUGGGGCAGGGAUGAAGUGCUGUGCCCCCCACUAUGGGGCAGGGAGUUUCCGUGCCCAUUCUAUGGGGCAGGGAGGUGCCCAUCUAUGGGGCAGGGAUGGGGACAGGGACACACUGUGCCCAUUCUAUGGGGCAGGGAGGUGCCGUGCCCAUCUAUGGGGCAGGGAGGUGCCGUGCCCAUUCUAUGGGGCAGGGAGGUGCCCAUCUAUGGGGCAGGGAGGUGCCGACUUUCUCUCCCCCCACUGCGCAGGACUGCAGACUCAGAGCUGUUCGCCAACACCAACCGAGCGGCCGGGGGCGGGGGGGAGGAAGAGGAGGAGGAGGAGGAAGAGGAGGAAGAAGAGGAAGAGGAAGAAGAAGAGGAAGAGGAGGAGGAAGAAGAAGAGGAAGAAGGGGCCAAACCAGAGGAAGAAGAGGAGAACAAAGGGGACGGAGGGGAAACGGGGGGCGAGGAAACAGAGGGAAAACGGCCAGAGGGCGGCGGGGCGACGUAGGGGUGGGCAGCCAAUAAAGGGUUCAGGAUUUGG
rnacentral:lncRNA from 1 species